CCGUAGCUCAGGGGAUAGAGCGUCUGCCUCCGGAGCAGAAGUCCGCAUGUUCAAUUCUUGCCGGACCA
rnacentral:tRNA from 1 species